AUUGAACGCUGGCGGCAGGCCUAACACAUGCAAGUCGAGCGGAUGAAGGGAGCUUGCUCCUGGAUUCAGCGGCGGACGGGUGAGUAAUGCCUAGGAAUCUGCCUGGUAGUGGGGGAUAACGUCCGGAAACGGGCGCUAAUACCGCAUACGUCCUGAGGGAGAAAGUGGGGGAUCUUCGGACCUCACGCUAUCAGAUGAGCCUAGGUCGGAUUAGCUAGUUGGUGGGGUAAAGGCCUACCAAGGCGACGAUCCGUAACUGGUCUGAGAGGAUGAUCAGUCACACUGGAACUGAGACCCGGUCCAGACCCCUCCGGGGGGGCGGUGUGGGGAAUUUUGGACAAUGGGCGAAAGCCUGAUCCAGCCAGGCCGCGUGGGUGAAGAAGGUUUUCGGUUUGUAAAGCCCUUUAAGUUGGGGGGAAGGGAAGUAAGUUAAUACCUUGCUGUUUUGACGUUACCAACAGAAUAAGCCCCGGCUAACUUCGU
rnacentral:rRNA from 1 species